rnacentral:rRNA from 1 species
CCUACGGGAGGCAGCAGUGAGGAAUAUUGGUCAAUGGGCGCGAGCCUGAACCAGCCAAGUAGCGUGAAGGAUGACUGCCCUACGGGUUGUAAACUUCUUUUAUAAAGGAAUAAAGUGAGGCACGUGUGCCUUUUUGUAUGUACUUUAUGAAUAAGGAUCGGCUAACUCCGUGCCAGCAGCCGCGGUAAUACGGAGGAUCCGAGCGUUAUCCGGAUUUAGUGGGUUUAAAGGGAGCGUGAUUGGGUUGGUAAGUGAGUUGUGAAAGUUUGCGGCUCAACCGUAAAAUGGCAAUUGAUACUGGCAGUCUUGAGUACAGUUGAGGUAGGCGGAAUGCGUGGUGUAGCGGUGAAAUGCGUAGAUAUCACGAAGAACUCCGAUUGCGAAGGCAGCUUACUAAACUGCCACUGACAUUGAUGCUCGAAAGUGUGGGUAUCAAACAGGAUUAGAUACCCCAGUAGUC